UAAUUGGGUUACAUUAUUAUUGGCAAGGUCAUAGUUCAGUAGACAAGGCAGUAAAAUUCAUUCAACACUACAAAUUAUAUCCUAAAUAUUUAUAAUGAUAUUUUGGAGUUGUCGCAGUAGAAAGUACUUGUAAGAAAUACUGAAUACUCAGAGAUACAUAAAAUUGUUCAAGUGGUUAUAUACUUGGGUUUAUCUUCUGUUUCGAGAUUAAACACAUUAAGAGGUGAAUGUAAAAGCCAAUUGAGAGGUGCAGAAUCACUUAAUCUUGGUGGGGUGUACACCUCUCCACUAGUAACAGUUAGACUCAAUUCAUGGAUUUGAUUCAGUCAGAAGAAGAUGCACAGAAAAAUGCAGUUGAACUGAAAGUUUUGAAAAAAUGCACAGCACUCAUUACGUUAUUUUUUUCCUGAGAAAGCACGGUUGUUGAUAACUGUUGAGGAAAAAAAAAGAGGAGAAAAUGACAUGAUGUGACUUACAGCUGUCGGGGGUUGUACCUGAAAUUUUUUAUGUACUUUUGAAUUCCAGUAUGUAUCCUGUUGAGUUAAAGUGAAACUAGUUUAGGUAUUUUUAACUUCCAGUGUGUAGCCUGUUGUGUUAAAGUGAAACCAUGCAACUACUCUUCAGAAAAAGUCUUAUUAAAAGACCAGAGGUUCUGAUGUCUUUACAUGAAAUGUUCCCAGCAGUGCAUGCAGCAGAAAUGGCUGUUCAGAGGAAUCCACGUUCCUGGGAUGCCUGGCAGACUUUGGGACGUGCCCAGCUUGGAUUAGGAGAGAUAGCUCUGGUAGGAAAGUAAACAACAUUGGCAUAUUAAAAUUGUGAACUACAUCCUCUGAAUUGUGCGUGAGAGAGUGAAAGUACGAAAAUACCAAGGCAAUUGAAUAGCCUUAAGUAGCCUGAAAGCAGGCAAGUAAAAAAAUGUUUGCUGUUAGUUACCAGCGUGCCCCUCCUUGGAUGUUUAUCACAAAUGCUUCCUGUGUGGUUUUGUUGCCAGGCUUGUGUAAGACCUGCCUAGCUUUCUGUGUUACAUGCUGUGUUUAAGUGGUGGCUUUAUGCAGCAGAAUAAUUACAAAGAUGUAACUAUGUACGCUACAUUCUAGAUGCUGUACUGUUGCAAUGCAGCACACCAUACUUUAGAGCUGAAAGUACUGUGAAGUCACAGGUGAUACCUGUCCUCAGUUUUAUGCACAGCUGCUAGAAGAUAUCUUGUUUUCCCUAGCUCCUGCUUUCUUGCUUCAAAUGCAGCAAAUCACAUGUGCGCUUCCACGCAUCCCUGUUGCUCCGUGACUCCAUAUGGGAGAUGAAAUUGAUUCUUUAGCAAAUAAGAGAAUAAAAAGGCUGGGGUGCUCCACAGUAGCAGGAGUACAGCUUUUUUCUAGCUCCUGCUGACUGCCAUGGUGCUGUACUGGGCAUAUUAAGUGAUACAAAAGGAGACAUCCCUUACAUCAAAUCACCCACAGUCUGCAGGUAAUCCAACUCUAAGUAGCUGUCUGCAUGUUAAAGUGUGGGAACAGAGUUAGUGAGCAUUGUAGUCCAGAUAUGUUCAAAAAGUCAAUUAGAAAAAUAAACUGUAAUGGGCUCUCAGAUAAAAAAGAUAGUGGCUUUAUUUUGUUUUCAUUUUGAGUAGCUGAGUGCUGGUUUUAUGGAAAUGAAUAAUAUUGUCAUUAGAGUAUUUCUGGAAAGUUGCAAUGUUUGAACUGAAAACUUUUCAAGCAUAAAUUAAGAUGUUUUUGAGUGAGGCUAACAAGUCAUGGAGAGCGUGAUUUUUUUUUAAACUACAGUAGGGUACAGUAUUUGAAAAAAAGAAAUUUAAAAAGGGCAAAACAUGAGAAUAGCAUAAGGUAGAAACUGAGUGUUGCAGAUAUGUGUGUAGUGUUCUGCCUUCUGUUGUCACAGUAUCAAAACAGGAAAUAUUUAAUAUAAAUCCAUAUCUGUCUGCAUGAUGUCAAAUAGUUGGUGACAUUCCAUUGUUUUUGUGUUGCAGAAGGCAAGGGCAGAUGGUCUGUCAUGUCUGCAUUAACAAUCUAUAAAUCCUCUCUUUUUUUUCAGUGCCUAAAGUUGCCACUGUAAAUUAUGUCUGAGAUUUUAAAUACAUUAGUCUCAGGAAAUUCGAAGUUAUUUCCUGCAAGAAUCCCAGGUAGCUGGUGCUGCUUAUUCUAUA